rnacentral:rRNA from 1 species
UAAGAAGGGGGCUAGCGUUGCUAGGAAUCACUGGGCGUAAAGCGCACGUAGGCGGCUUCUUAAGUCAGGGGUGAAAUCCUGGGGCUCAACCCCAGUACUGCCCUUGAUACUGAGGAGCUUGAGUCCGGGAGAGGUGAGAGGAACUCCGAGUGUAGAGGUGAAAUUCGUAGAUAUUCGGAAGAACACCAGUGGCGAAGGCGGCUCACUGGCCCGGUACUGACGCUGAGGUGCGAAAGCGUGGGGAGCAAACAGG